rnacentral:lncRNA from 1 species
ACAGAUUUUUCUUCAUGAAUCAAGCUAGUCACAAUUAAGAGAUCCCCUUGAAAGAAAAAUGACCUAAUUUUUUCACCGUCCAAUUCAUAUAUUUAUAUUAUAAUUUAUAUAUUUAUUUCGAUAUAAAAAUAUAAAAUAUAUUUUUUAUUUAUAUUAAAUUUAAAUAUAAUAUUUUAUUAAAUUUAUAAUUUAUAUAUUUUUUUAUAUUUUUUUCAUAUAUUAUUAUCGUAUCAUUUUAUAAACUGUCAGGUCAAAAUUUUUCCCUAUCUGGAAGGAGUUUCAGAUUUACUUUUCCUUUGCUUUGGCUUUGGCUUUGGCUCUGAACUGAAAUUUUAUUCAACAUGAGGCACGUUCUUCCUUCUCAUUUCAUAUUUGAUUUACUUUGUUUUCAAUUAUUUUGUCAUUUAAGCAUGAAGAACGUGGACAAGGCGGUGCAUGUCUUGGUUGAAUAAAACACAUAACAAGUAAGGAUGAUUUGGUAUUGUUAUUUAUUUAUUUAUUGGAAAUUAGAACCAUAAAUUGUGUUUGAUAAAUUGUUUUUGUUUAUAAAAAAAAAAUGAAAUGAAAGUUUUGAAAAGUUUUGAAAAUUGUUGAAAAGCAAAAAUUAUGUUUCGAAUGUUUUGUAAAUGUUUUUGAUAUUGUUAAUCAUCACAUGGGCACUAUUUAUCUGCUCGGCUAUAGUGAGAUUAAUUUUUAAUGUUUGAAAAUUAAAAAAUUUUAUAAUAAAAGGAUAUUAACAAAUUUUUGCAAAAAAAAAAAAAAAACAUGUUAUCAAAUUGAACAAAUUGAAUAUAAAAUAAAUAUAAAACAAAAAAAAUUUUUUUUAAAUCUAAAAGAUAAAAUUAUCAACAAUACUAAAUGACUUCUAAAUAAUUCAUACUCCAAUUAGAAUGGUUCAUUCUCUCAAAUUUUAAAAAAAUCUUCUUAAAUAUAAAAUGAAGAUUUUCUUACUAAGCAUUAUUAAAAAAAAAAUUCUCAUGUAACACAUUAAA